rnacentral:rRNA from 1 species
CCCUCCCUCUGGCGGCAUGCCUAACACAUGCAAGUCGAACGAGACCUUCGGGUCUAGUUGCGCACGGGUGCGUAACGCGUGGGAACCUGCCCUUAUGUUCGGAAUAACUCCCCGAAAGGGGUGCUAAUACCGGAUAAUGUCUUCUGACCAAAGAUUUAUCGCCUUUGGAUGGGCCCGCGUUGUAUUAGCUAGUUGGUAGUGUAAAAGCCUACCACGGCGACGAUCCAUAGCUGGUCUGAGAGGAUGAUCAGCCACACUGGGACUGAGACACGGCCCAGACUCCUACGGGAGGCAGCAGUGGGGAAUAUUGGACAAUGGGCGAAAGCCUGAUCCAGCAAUGCCGCGUGAGUGAUGAAGGCCUUAGGGUUGUAAAGCUCUUUUACCCGGGAUGAUAAUGACAGUACCGGGAGAAUAAGCGCCGGCUAACUCCGUG